rnacentral:rRNA from 1 species
CAGUCGCCGCGGUAAUACAGAGGGUGCGAGCGUUAAUCGGAUUUACUGGGCGUAAAGCGUGCGUAGGCGGCUUCUUAAGUCGGAUGUGAAAUCCCUGAGCUUAACUUAGGAAUUGCAUUCGAUACUGGGAAGCUAGAGUAUGGGAGAGGAUGGUAGAAUUCCAGGUGUAGCGGUGAAAUGCGUAGAGAUCUGGAGGAAUACCGAUGGCGAAGGCAGCCAUCUGGCCUAAUACUGACGCUGAGGUACGAAAGCAUGGGGAGCAAACAGGAUUAGAUACCCGAGUAGUCCAUGUCUCUUAUAA